UCCCUGAUGGCUCAGACGGUAGAGCGUCUGCCUGCAAUGCGGGAGACCCAGGUUUGAUCCCUGGGUCGGGAA
rnacentral:tRNA from 1 species